UACGUAGGGUGCGAGCGUUGUCCGGAAUUACUGGGCGUAAAGAGCUUGUAGGUGGUUUGUCGCGUUGUUCGUGAAAUCUCACGGCUUAACUGUGGGCGUGCGGGCGAUACGGGCAGACUUGAGUACUGCAGGGGAGACUGGAAUUCCUGGUGUAGCGGUGGAAUGCGCAGAUAUCAGGAGGAACACCGGUGGCGAAGGCGGGUCUCUGGGCAGUAACUGACGCUGAGGAGCGAAAGCGUGGGGAGCGAACAGG
rnacentral:rRNA from 1 species